rnacentral:piRNA from 1 species
UGAGAAAAAACCAGAAUUGGUGAUUCAAGA